rnacentral:rRNA from 1 species
AGUGAACGCUGGCGGUAGGCCUAACACAUGCAAGUCGAACGGCAGCACAGUAAGAGCUUGCUCUUACGGGUGGCGAGUGGCGGACGGGUGAGGAAUACAUCGGAAUCUACUUUUUCGUGGGGGAUAACGUAGGGACACUUACGCUAAUACCGCAUACGACCUACGGGUGAAAGCAGGGGAUCUUCGGACCUUGCGCGAUUGAAUGAGCCGAUGUCGGAUUAGCUAGUUGGCGGGGUAAAGGCCCACCAAGGCGACGAUCCGUAGCUGGUCUGAGAGGGUGAUCAGCCACACUGGAACUGAGACACGGUCCAGACUCCUACGGGAGGCAGCAGUGGGGAAUAUUGGACAAUGGGCGCAAGCCUGAUCCAGCCAUACCGCGUGGGUGAAGAAGGCCUUCGGGUUGUAAAGCCCUUUUGUUGGGAAAGAAAAGCAGCAGGUUAAUACCCCGCUGUUCUGACGGUACCCAAAGAAUAAGCACCGGCUAACUUCGUG